AAAAAUUGUUUUUCAAACAACCACACUUCUGGAUACAAACAGCCUCACGUAAAAAUGUAUGGAAAGUAAAUAAACAGCUGUCAGUACGUACAUAUAAAAGUGUGCCCUUAC